rnacentral:pre_miRNA from 4 species
AUAGACGAGUAUGGAUGUGGUGCACGUGCGUCUUAUCAUUUCGUGACUAGAUACAUACUCGUCUACG